rnacentral:rRNA from 1 species
GAGUUUGAUCCUGGCUCAGGAUGAACGCCGGCGGUGUGCCUAAUACAUGCAAGUCGUACGCACUGGCCCAACUGAUUGAUGGUGCUUGCACCUGAUCGACGAUGGAUCACCAGUGAGUGGCGGACGGGUGAGUAAACACGUAGGUAACCUGCCCUGUACAGGGGGAUAACAAUCAGAAAUGACUGCUAAUACCGCAUAAGACCACAGCACCGCAUGGUGCAGGGGUAAAAACUCCGGUGGUACAGGAUGGACCCGCGUCUGAUUAGCUGGUUGGUGAGGUAACGGCUCACCAAGGCGACGAUCAGUAGCCGGCUUGAGAGAGUGAACGGCCACAUUGGGACUGAGACACGGCCCAAACUCCUACGGGAGGCAGCAGGUGGGGAAUAUUGCACAAGUACGGGGGAACCCUGAUGCAGCGAACGCCGCGUGAGU